GUGGGGAAUAUUGGACAAUGGGCGAAAGCCUGAUCCAGCCAUGCCGCGUGUGUGAAGAAGGUCUUCGGAUUGUAAAGCACUUUAAGUUGGGAGGAAGGGCAGUAAGUUAAUACCUUGCUGUUUUGACGUUACCGACAGAAUAAGCACCGGCUAACUUCGUGCCAGCAGCCGCGGUAAUACGAAGGGUGCAAGCGUUAAUCGGAAUUACUGGGCGUAAAGCGCGCGUAGGUGGUUUUGUAAGUUGGAGGUGGAAUCCCCGGGCUCAACCUGGGAACUGCCUCCAAAACUGCAUGACUAGAGUACGGUAGAGGGUAGUGGAAUUUCCUGUGUAGCGGUGAAAUGCGUAGAUAUAGGAAGGAACACCAGUGGCGAAGGCGACUACCUGGACUGAUACUGACACUGAGGUGCGAAAGCGUGGGGAGCAAACAGGAUUAGAUACCCCUGUAGUCC
rnacentral:rRNA from 1 species